AGCUCUCUGGUCCCGGCGGUAAGAUGGCGGCUGCCGCGGAGUGCGAUGUGGUAAUGGCGGCGACCGAGCCGGAGCUGCUCGACGACCAAGAGGCGAAGAGGGAAGCAGAGACUUUCAAGGAACAAGGAAAUGCAUACUAUGCCAAGAAAGAUUACAAUGAAGCUUAUAAUUAUUAUACAAAAGCCAUAGAUAUGUGUCCUAAAAAUGCUAGCUAUUAUGGUAAUCGAGCAGCCACCUUGAUGAUGCUUGGAAGGUUCCGGGAAGCUCUUGGAGAUGCACAACAGUCAGUGAGGUUGGAUGACAGUUUUGUCCGGGGACAUCUACGAGAGGGCAAGUGCCACCUCUCUCUGGGGAAUGCCAUGGCAGCAUGUCGCAGCUUCCAGAGAGCCCUAGAACUGGAUCAUAAAAAUGCUCAGGCACAACAAGAGUUCAAGAAUGCUAAUGCAGUCAUGGAAUAUGAGAAAAUAGCAGAAACAGAUUUUGAGAAGCGAGAUUUUCGGAAGGUUGUUUUCUGCAUGGACCGUGCCCUAGAAUUUGCCCCUGCCUGCCAUCGCUUCAAAAUCCUCAAGGCAGAAUGUUUAGCAAUGCUGGGUCGUUAUCCAGAAGCACAGUCUGUGGCUAGUGACAUUCUACGAAUGGAUUCCACCAAUGCAGAUGCUCUGUAUGUACGAGGUCUUUGCCUUUAUUACGAAGAUUGUAUUGAGAAGGCAGUUCAGUUUUUCGUACAGGCUCUCAGGAUGGCUCCUGACCACGAGAAGGCCUGCAUUGCCUGCAGAAAUGCCAAAGCACUCAAAGCAAAGAAAGAAGAUGGGAAUAAAGCAUUUAAGGAAGGAAAUUACAAACUAGCAUAUGAACUGUACACAGAAGCCCUGGGGAUAGACCCCAACAAUAUAAAAACAAAUGCUAAACUCUACUGUAAUCGGGGUACGGUUAAUUCCAAGCUUAGGAAACUAGAUGAUGCAAUAGAAGACUGCACAAAUGCAGUGAAGCUUGAUGACACUUACAUAAAAGCCUACUUGAGAAGAGCUCAGUGGUGGGAUUGUUCCAGCCCUAGACUAUCUUUAUAGACCUCCAGCGGAGGAGAUUGCACAAGCUCCCUCAGUCUCCCAUGCCUGUGUCUAACGCCCCUCACGAAACAGAACUGCCCUUCUUGGAGUGGCUCUGCCUCUGAGAUCACUACAGGGGAGACAGCAUGCCCUGUUCAGCUGGCUGAAUAUUUGGCAACAAUCUCCUGAAGCAGCUGGAAUUGACAAGAAGUACUGGAGAUUAGCUCGGGCCAAACCCUUACAUCUGGCCUGACUACUGCUGCAGUCUGCCUCAACUUACCCCUAAAGCUGGGGAGAUGCCACCCACCCACAUCUUUGCUACACAUGCCAUCAUGAGCUAGAGUUCACCCUUUCUCCUUAAAGCCCUAUUUACUUUUCUACUUCAACUUUAAAACAAAAUUAAAAUGUGAGGAUAUCCCUGAAUUUUAAAAAGCAUGAAGUAAAAAUGCAAAUUAGUAUAGUUUGUUUAAUACAUUACAUAUAGACCUAAAGAAAGUUCAUCAGGGUUAAUCAUUUGUCACAUCAUUCUAUACCCAGGGCUAUCAGCUAUCAAUUUUCCUUUUUUUUUUUUUUUUAAUUCAGGAUCCAGCUCUGUCACCCAGGCUGGAGUGCAGUAUCAAAGUAUCAUUUCUCUUACUUCAAAUUAUUACAUUUUAUUCUGUACAUUGAUUCUGAACUCCUAAUAUAAUAUUUAUGUCCUGUAUUUGCAGGCCAUUGGUUUUUUUAAAGUCAUAAAUCAAAAUGAUGCCAGAAAAUCAAAGAUGCCCAAGAUGUUGGGCUUCUCUUUUGCCAGCCACAUUGGUAGCACUCUCCUGCCCUGGCCUCCAAGCUGGUGGGGAUCUGUGAUGUUUGUGAAAAUGGGCUUAUGCCAGGCGCAGUGGCUCACGCCUAUAAUCCCAGCACUUUGGGAGGCCGAGGCGGGCAGAUCGGUUCAGGUCAGGAGAUCGAGACCAGCCUGGCCAACAUGGUGAAACCCCAUCUCUACUAAAAAUACAAAAAAUUAGCCAGGUGUGGUGGCACAUGCCUGUAAUCCCAGCUACUCAGGAGGCUGAGGCAGGAGAAUCACUUGAAACCUGGGAGGCGGAGGUUGCAGUGAGCAGAGAUCGUGCCAUUACACUCCAGCCUGGGCUACAGAGUGAGACUCUGUGUCAAAAAAAAAAAAGAAAGAAAAUGGGCUUGUGUGGUAGCAGGUAAGAAAUUGAAUCUCUGUUGUACAGCAGCUAGCUGUACUGCAUGAUCACUUCCCAUUCCCCAGCUGACAGUGGCUGUCUCUGGAACUCCUACCACAGUCUUCAAUUGGUAGGCCAGCCCUGGUGCCAGUGAUUUUAUCUGGGCAUGGAAAAUGCCACUUGCUUCUGUGGAAGAGACACUUAAAAGAUCUGGCAGUCGGCCGGGUGCGGUGGCUCACGCCUAUAAUCCCAACACUCUGGGAGGUCAAGGCAGGCGGAUCACGAGGUCAGGAGAUGGAGACCAUCCUGGCUAACACGGUGAAACCCUGUCUCUACUAAAAAAAAAAAUAAAAAAUUAGCUGGGCGAGGUGGCGGGCGCCUGUAGUCCCAGCUACUCUGGAGGCUGAGGCAGGAGAAUGGCGUGAACCCAGGAGGCGGAGCUUGCAGUGAUCCGAGAUCACACCACUGCACUGCAGUCUGGGCAACAGAGCGAGACUCCAUCUCAAAAAAAAAAAAAAAAAAAAAAGAUCUCGCAAUCAUCCUGUCAAGCUUGAUUCCUCCGAUCUUGGGCCAAGGGCCCCUCCUUUCUUUUGUGCUACUGAAAUAGAAGCAAACCUGUGUUUAGAGUUCCCUUUUCUGUCUCAUUUACCUGCAUCUCUCAUUGAUUGGUCUUAGUGGAGGGAUUUGCCAGCAGCUGCCACGUUGAACUUGAUCCUUUUAGUGGCUCACUAAUCCCACCUCUAUUCUGGAUUGUAGCUAGUCCUGCAUGUUUAUGGCACUAUAGGUUUCAAAGCUCUUUCAUACCCAUUUAUUCACUUGAUAAUUUUUCUCUUGUGUGUUUCAACCCAAAGUAAUCAAGUAGAUCCCUUCACAUUGUCUUUUCUAAGGCAGUCCAGUACCUCUUAGGUGGCUGUGUGUCAGAAGGAACUUUUUCCUCUUGAUUACUUUCUGCUCAAAGCUGAACAUCACUUUGCUGGUUGGAUGCAAGUGCCAUGCGACCUCUCUUUUUAUUUCCUUGAGGACUUGUUAGCUAAUUUUCUCUCACUGCUAGAUUAAGGGCUCCUGUUUCUGAAGCAUCUUACCAGAAGUGUGUGUCUCUUGCUUGAGCCAUGCCUCUUGCCCUAGAGUGAUCCUGAGAACCACUGCUAUUUAUGUCUUAGUGCUGUAUUGCCUUGUAUUUCCUUCUCAGUUACAUGGACACAGAACAGUAUGAAGAAGCAGUACGAGACUAUGAAAAAGUAUACCAGACAGAGAAAACAAAAG